rnacentral:rRNA from 1 species
CAGCAGCCACGGUAAUACGUAGGUGGCAAGCGUUGUCCGGAAUUAUUGGGCGUAAAGGGCUCGCAGGCGGUUUCUUAAGUCUGAUGUGAAAGCCCCCGGCUCAACCGGGGAGGGUCAUUGGAAACUGGGAAACUUGAGUGCAGAAGAGGAGAGUGGAAUUCCACGUGUAGCGGUGAAAUGCGUAGAGAUGUGGAGGAACACCAAUGGCGAAGGCGACUCUCUGGUCUGUAACUGACGCUGAGGAGCGAAAGCGUGGGGAGCGAACAGGAUUAGAUACCCUGUAGUCCCUGUCUCUUAUACA